UACGGGGGGGGCAAGCGUUGUUCGGAAUUACUGGGCGUAAAGGGCGCGUAGGCGGCCUGCUAAGUCGGACGUGAAAUCCCUCGGCUCAACCGAGGAACUGCGUCCGAUACUGGUGGGCUUGAAUCCGGGAGAGGGAUGUGGAAUUCCAGGUGUAGCGGUGAAAAUGCGUAGAUAUCUGGAGGAACACCGGUGGCGAAGGCGGCAUCCUGGACCGGUAUUGACGCUGAGGCGCGAAAAGCUAGGGGGAGCAAACGGGG
rnacentral:rRNA from 1 species